rnacentral:rRNA from 1 species
CCUACGGGGAGCAGCAGUGAGGAAUAUUGGUCAAUGGGCGAGAGCCUGAACCAGCCAAGUCGCGUGAAGGAUGACGGCCCUACGGGUUGUAAACUUCUUUUGUCAGGGAGCAAUUGAGUCCACGUGUGGUCUUAGCGAGAGUACCUGAAGAAAAAGCAUCGGCUAACUCCGUGCCAGCAGCCGCGGUAAUACGGGGGAUGAGAGCGGUAUCCGGUUUUAUUGGGUUUAAAGGGUGCGUAUGCGGAAUAUCAAGUCAGCGGUAAAAAUUCGGGGCGAAACCCCGUCGUGCCGUUGAAACUGAUGUUCUUGAGUGGGCGAGAAGUAGGCGGAAUGCGUGGUGUAGCGGUGAAAUGCACAGAUAUCACGCAGAAAACCGAUUGCGAAGGCAGCAUACCGGCGCCCAACUGACGCUGAAGCACGAAAGCGUGGGUAUCGAACAGGAUUAGAUACCCGAGUAGUC